AACUCCUUCUCUCUCCUUCGAUCUCCUUCUCCAUAACCGCCACUUUCCUUUUCCUUUCUUCUCUCUUUCUACAAUAUUGGUGGUUAGGGUUUCUGGGUUCGUCUAUCUUGAAUUAAAUCGAUGUUCGUGCGUCUUCAACAACAACAAAUUUGAAUCAAUUUCGAACCAAAAAUCAGAAAUUCGAGCUUCCAAGUGUAGAAAUAGGUUCACAGUUCAUUAUUUUCACUCAUGUAACGAUGGAAUCAGACAAGUACAUUUGUGUGAGAGAGACCUCGCCUUAGAACAGCGUUGUUAUUAUUGACAUGAACAUGCCUAAUCAACCUUUGAGGCGUCCCAUCACGGCUGAUUCUGUUUUGAUGAACCCUAACUCGAGAAUUCUUUCUCUUAAAGGUUGCUCUUCCUCAAGGAAUCGUACCAUUUGUCUUCGCUAAGGAGUACAAUGUCCAUCCCGAUAUCCUCAGCACAGCAUAUAUGUACCAACCAACCCGCGUGGUGCUGAGAUGUUACCUCCAGGAAUUGUAGUAGGAGAAAGUGAUUUUUUUCUUCGAAUAUUGUGGGGUGAACCGAGUGAGGAUUUGAAAAAGAAGCCAAAAUACUUGGUAACUUUCACUGUUGGAUUAGCUCAGAGGGACAACAUUAAUAGUGGCUAUUUUCUACAAGCAAAAACCAUGUUAUUAAUGUCUUGUCCUCCCCAUAUACAAUAUGUGUGUGUGUGUGUCUAUGUGUGUGUGUGUGUGUGUGUGUGUGUUUAGCAGCUUUGACAGGUAAAACAACAGCAACAGCCAGCACCAGGCAGGCACAGCACCACCAGACAACAGCUAACAACUAGCAGAUAGCCAACAGGCUUUGCAAAACCAGUUCAGCAACCAAACAGCAGCAUCACAGCAGCUGAAAGAGCAGGCAACAAAAUUAGCAGCCUGAACCAGCACACACCAGCUAGAGCCUAAGCAGCUAGAAACAGAAAGCAGUAGCCAGCAACAGCUAAACACACCCUGCAAACAAAAACCAGCAACCAGACACAAAGCAAGCAACACAGGCAAUAGAAAACAGCAGCUUACAAAAGGAAAGUUGACCUGGCUGUUAAAUCAAGGGCUCUACUUCUCCAGACCUUGAUUCUGUAUUUUUUUUUCUUCAGUUUUUUAAAGUGUAAUAUUACAAUUUA